GUACAGGGAAAGGUAAUUAUCUGGUAUUCUGAUAGAAAGGAACCACUAAACAGUAUCAAAUGUUCAGUUUGAGGAAUCUGUUGACACGUUCGUUUAGAUUUCAGCAUCAAGGGUCAACAAAACCAAGACAAGUUGUUUUAAUAGCUACUUCUGUGGUUUGAAUAGAAUAAGUAAUAUGCUUGAACAAACCAGGUAAUACAGUUAAUUCUAAACAUCUCACUCAUCAUUUUAGUAUUUAGUUGGAGUAGAACAUGCAUUUAUAUUAUGGAAAAUACAGACUCACCAUUUGUGCUCAUUUAUUUCAUUAAUCCUGGGAAUUCUUCAAAUAAUUUCUUGGCUGUGAUUGGUUGUAGCUAAUCUGAAAACUUGAUAACUAGAUUAUGAAAGAUGAUUUUCUUUCCCACUAAAUAACUUCAAAAUAACUUCUGAUCUGGUGCAGUUUGGUAGAAAAGUAUUUUCUGUGUGAAUGUUUUUAUUAACCCUCUUACGACCAACCUGUCGGCGUCGACAGGAUUCGGCUUGUGUACUUUCCAUUACCGUAAUUUCUGAACCGUUCAACAUAUCAAAAAAAUUCCAAAAGUGCAGAAAAGCUGAGACAUUGCGCUUUCAGGGCAUAUAUGAUACAUUACGGUAGCCACCUGGGAAAGUUGUGAUAUGAGCUUGACCAAUCACAAGAAAGAUUCUCCGUUGUGUCAUAAUUGUCACCCAACCUACUCUGUAUCGUAACUCCUGAACAGUUGGCCGCAUUCAAAAAAUUCCGAAAGUAUCAGAAAGUGCAUAAAAUAAGCUGCAUCACAUGUGCAUGUUGCAGCAGAUAUUAGAGUAAAUAUUUUCAUUACGGAAUUUCCCUGCGGAGCUUCGUAACGUGUCAACGGAUUAGCGGUGCGAGAGAGAGAGAAGACGGCAGAGGACGAGUUGAAAUCGGGCAUAAAAUUAUGGAAAUGUCUAAAAGAAAAUCCACCAGACUGAUAAAUGGUCCUAGAAGGCUGAUAUCUGAAGGCAGUGAACAUGAGAGACAUAUAACCAGCGAACCAGGUUGCGUAAAAUAUUUGUACAAGCUAACGUUAGUCAUAUGAACGCUGCACAAACCAUUGGCUAACUGUUAGCUCCAUCUUGAUUCCUGCAUAAUUUGUGCAAUAACUAUUUAUUAUACUGAAAAUAAAAUCGUGGUCUUCCAGAAAUAAUGUCCUAAGUAAUAUUUUUACAUAACGUGAUUUUGGCAAAAAGAAAAAAAGAAAAAUCACCACCACUUUUUUUUUCUGCCAAAAGAUGAAUUGUGAAAAAAAACAACAAAUCAGCCAAGUGAGGGAUUGGUGACCUGUCCAGUGUGUCCCCUGCCUCUUGCUCCUGACCACUGGAGAUGGGUACCAGCACCCUCUCAGCCUGAAGUGUGAUAGAUAAAGUAUGGAUGGAUCCAGAGUGGGAUUUUGUCUGUAGCUGGGGAGGAACUGCUUUAGAGCCUACCACAAAAAGUGAAAACGCCUGAAAUAAUUUAAUAAAAAACAGGCAUAAAAACUUGUAAAUUGGAGGCCAGGCUUCACAGUUUUCUCAGCAUUUAUGUAAUAUAGUGGAAAGUUGAAAUUGUUCAUCUGAAAUUGUUUGCCCCUGUCAUCAGAAAGUUUUUGUUCAGCAAUAAACCUGAAAAUUUCAAUUCCGAUUUUUGUUUUUUUUCUCUUUAAACUGUUUGUUCACAAUUUUUGAAAUUGUGAACAGAAAUGUUAAAUAACCAUCAAAUACUGAAAGCUGAGGUUGUUCUGGAAAAAAGAGGAAAAAUUCAGACUCAUUGCACAUUGUUUGAGAAUUUUACAGCCAUAAAAUCAAAAAAAUACCAGGCGGCCCAGUUACAAUUAUGGUCUUAAGAGGGUUAAUUACCAUUUAAAGAAUCUUUAGCUCAA